rnacentral:rRNA from 1 species
GAUGAACGCUGGCGGCGUGCCUAAUACAUGCAAGUCGAGCGAACAGAUAAGGAGCUUGCUCCUUUGACGUUAGCGGCGGACGGGUGAGUAACACGUGGGUAACCUACCUAUAAGACUGGGAUAACUUCGGGAAACCGGAGCUAAUUCCGGAUAACAUUUGGAACCGCAUGGUUCUAAAGUGAAAGAUGGUUUUGCUAUCACUUAUAGAUGGACCCGCGCCGUAUUAGCUAGUUGGUAAGGUAACGGCUUACCAAGGCGACGAUACGUAGCCGACCUGAGAGGGUGAUCGGCCACACUGGAACUGAGACACGGUCCAGACUCCUACGGGAGGCAGCAGUAGGGAAUCUUCCGCAAUGGGCGAAAGCCUGACGGAGCAACGCCGCGUGAGUGAUGAAGGGUUUCGGCUCGUAAAACUCUGUUAUUAGGGAAGAACAAACGUGUAAGUAACUGUGCACGUCUUGACGGUACCUAAUCAGAAAGCCACGGCUAACUACGUG